rnacentral:lncRNA from 1 species
GUGUCCUUAUCACAGGCUGCACUCCCAGCACAGCAGCCUGCGCGGAAACGCUCCUCUCCGCCGCCUUCCUGCCUGGAAGCCCGGAGGCGGAGGCGGAGGCGCUGGAGGCCCCCACCCAGCGGGACGGGAGGCUGAGGGGAGCAAGGGGAGCGAGCGGAGCCAGGUGGGGGCAGAUGUGCAGGAUGGGUCAGGGGCAGCGGGGUGGGAGGCCCAGCCUCCGGGGUCUGGAGGGUUAGCUGAGUACUUCACGCUGCACUGAUCUGUGGGGCCGCCGUGAUGUGGGUGCUAACGCUCUCCCCACCUGUUGGAUGGGGAAACUGAGGCCCAGGGCAACAGUGACCUCUCGAGGUCAGGCCCCAGCUAGGUGAGGCACAAACUCAGUCCAGAGGCGGCCCCGGGGGCUCUGCCGUCCACCCAGGCUCUGGCUGACAAGGGGCCCUCCUGCUGUGCUGGCUCCCGAAGGGGAUGGCCCGGACUGGGCCCAGCUGCCCUCUGGUGGAUAUGGGGCCACCCCAGUCAGGGUGGGGCUGACAGGGUCCAUGCUCCCUCCCGCCCUCGGACGUGCAGACUUGAAGAACGCUGGCGGGCGGGCUUGGGGGCCUAGCACCGGCCAGGUCACCAGUGCUACCUUCCUCUGAGUGAAUCUGCCGGAGGACUGAGCUGGGGUCCGGGAACGGCUUCCCAGCAGGCCCUGCAGCCUAUUCUGCCCCAGGCGUAAGUCAUGCUCCCUCCCUGGGAGGACAUGGCUGCUGGUGGGGUGCUGGGGCCACAUCCAGUCCUCUUGGCUUCUUGAGGUUGGGGUGAUGACUGCCCCCAGCACGUGAAACCCAUGGGUAGGCGGUGGGGACUGUGUUCCUGCCCUGAUGACACCUGCUGUGGGAAGGCACCAGAGCCCCUGCAGGCCCCCACUUCUGCAGAAGCACGGGGGGUGGGGGGUGGGGGGCGUGGGAGAGGCCCACAGAGGCUUGUGCCCCUCUAACCUGUUCCGUGGUGACAGGGCUCUCGCUUGCCUCCCGGGGAGGCAUCCUGAGCCCAGUGGCUAGAUUCAGGUCGUGGCCCUGCUGUGAGAGGGACCUUUGCGUCCCUGACUGACAGUGGGUGAGCCAGGCCGUGAGAGUCUUUUUCUGUUGGCCGUGGCUGGAGCCUGUGACCUGCAGGCCAGAGAGCGCAGGGCCACCUGCAGUCGCCGACCGGGCCCAUUGUCAUCUGUGGAUCUGGCUGUGCCUCAGUUUCCCACCCAUCAACUGGGGCUGGGGCUGUAGCUGAGUGGCGCUUCCUUGGGGGGUGGGAGAGGAGAGGCUGCCAUAUCCAGAGCACGUCCGCCCUAGGCCCUGGCCCGGCCCGGGGCCCUGCCUCCGCUAAUUUGAGAGGAUAGAGGAAGUCCCCUGUGGCCUCUCCCCUUCUCAGCUGACCUCACCCAUCUGGGGCUGCACAGGAAAUGCCCGGGUGUGCUGGGGCCUGACCCUUCUGCAGAGCCGGGGCCCCAGCGCCAGCCGCCCGCCAUCUGCUGACCUCUGGCCAGGCUCAACGCCACACUCUCCAAGGCUGACUCAGAGCCCUGGGAAAGGGUCAGGGGCUCCCACCUCCGUGCUGAGCUCAUCAGGGAGGGGCUCAGCACCUGGUCACCUCUGUGUCCUCACACCCCAGGCUCUGCCUGGCUGCUGCCUGCCUGGUGGUCAGUGCCUGUCACCCCCACUGUCCCCUCCAGGCCACAGGAAGAGUCUGAGCAGGGAGAACCCUGGUCUCACGGGCUCCCAGGGCCCUGGCACCGAGGGUGUGAGGAGCCUCUCCUGGGACAAAGGCCGAGGGGUUCCGGGGGUCCUUGGCCUCCGUGGCCGUUGGCAUGGGGCCCCCCCAACGACCCGCAGCCGGCAGAUGGGGCGGCGGCUGCAGUUCCCCCAAUGCUCACAGCGCGGCGGUGUUUCCCCGCGGAAGCUGCCCCGGACCAGUGGCCUCUACCCUGCUGCUGCCAGCCUUGGGCGGGGCUCCCUGCACGUGGGACACGCACCCCUCCCACCCUGACAGCCUGUGCGUCCCGCCCUGCGUGGCUUCUCUCCAAAGGCUCUUAAGAUUCGAGGAGAGGGGCGGAGAGAGGACCUGGCUUGGUUGGGAAGUGGGGCCUGGGACCCUGGGACCCUGUGCUCCGACCCCACCUGCAAGGCUGCGCCCUCCGCAGGGGGCCGUCCGGGGGGGCCCUGCCCGCGGGUCACUGCCAGGAUCCUGCAAGCAGCCAGCGGGCACCGCUGUCACCACAUUUCACACUCUGAGGAGCUCUGGGCACAGCCUCCAGGGAAAGCCUGGCUGCCGACUCUGGCCCCCUGACUCCUGAAUCCUGCGAGUCACACGGCGGCACGGCCUGCAUAUCGGGGAGGAUGGCAGGCUGGGCUGUCCUGAGGUGACCAGGGAAUGCCAGACGCUUUGGGGUGAGGGUUUGCUUGCCGGCUUUGGGGCAGGCCAAGGGAUUCUGCAGGGGCAGUAGGUCCCCGCGAUCUUCUGGGGAGGGGCCGGCUGCCGAAUCUCUGGGAUUCAAAUGUGGAAAACCCACAGGGGGCAUUCCCGUGAUGACUGAAAGAAGAAGUGGCAGCGUCACAGCUGAAGGGAGGCUGUCAGAGUGACCAGAGUGGCCAGUCCAGAGGAGACGGGUGGGGCAAAGUCUCCAGGAGGCCAGGAGAUGCCUUCAAGAAAAGAAAUGGAAAGGAGUGAUGACCUGAUGCGUGUGAGAACACGGGGACGAGCCUUGCGGCUCCGUGGGAGAGCUUGGGUGAGGACCACCCGUGCCGCGGCGACCUCUGAUCGUCACCCAAGCUGUGCCCUCCCAUUUCACGGUAAAAGGGGUUUCACCGGGCUCAAGGCUGUCCAGCUAAAGACCACGUCUCCCAGCCUCCUUGCAGACUCUAACUUAGCCUGUGACCAAGUUCUGGUCAAUGGGACCAGAGCAGGAGUGGGAGGUGUCACUUCCGGAUCUUCCCAUUAAAAGAAAGGGUCAUUCUCCAGGAGAACCCACCCGAGGUGUCCUGGCCGUAGCCACCUUCAAAAUGCCCUCUGUGUGUAUGGGAGAUACUAUACCCUAGAAUCUCAGAACACGCCAGAACGCUGAAAUGCCCUUCUACCUUUGGAUUUACAGCCCCCUCCAGAUAAAUUAAGAAAUUCAGUAUUUCUCCACUCUUAGCUGGAUUCUAAAGUUCUGUAUAUCUCAUGAUGAUGUGUAUUUUUAUAGCAGCCUUUUAACAGAACUAGUUAAUUUGGUGUAUAUGAAUUUUUCUCGAAGAUCUGGUCCAAACUAUAUUCAGUUUUCUGCCCAGAAUUAUCAGAUUGAAGGUGGUUGGUUUUUAUUUACUUUUUCUUUUAUUCCUUUUUUUUUUUUUUGAGACAGAGUUUCACUCUGGUUGCCCAGGCUGGAGUGCAAUGGUGUGAUCUCAGCUCACUGCAAGGUCUACCUCCCAAGUUCAGGUGAUUCUCUUGCCUCAGCCUCCCAAGUAGCUGGGACUACAGGUGCCCGCCCCCACACCUAGCUAAUUUUUGUAUUUUUAGUAGAGUUGGGGUUUCACCAUAUUGGCCAGGCUGGUCUCGAACACCUGACCUUGUGAUCCACCUGCCUCGGCCUCCCAAAGUGCUGGGAUUACAGGUGUGAGCUACCGUGCCUGGCCAGGGUCACUCUCUUGUUGACCCUUCCCUCCCUCCUGCAGGCAGGGAGAUGGUGAGAGGUGGAGCAGCCCCUUUGGUCCUGAGCCAGCCACGUGUUGAGAGCGGCAGGGAAGCCCAUCAGCCUCGGGACUUUCAUGUGAGGGAGAAACCAACUCUAUCAUGUUUAGAUUCCUGUUGUUUUGGUUCUUUGCCUCAGUAACUUAACCAAUAUUCUAACUAAGCAAGUGAAAAAGGAAGCAACUUUGAAUUCCAGGAAAAACAAAAAGUUAUAAAAAGGAAAUGCAUUUAUCAUAUAGUACUUGGCUCAAGAGUGAACAAUUACAGAGUUAUAUUAAUGCAAGUGCUGACUAUCCGUGUGAAGAAUUCAGGAUCCGUCGUCUGUUUGAAGGUGGGAGGGGAGAAGGGCAUGCACUGGCCAGGAGAGACGGGAAAGUGAGAUCCUCAUCUUCUGGUAGGAAGUCAACAGGAAGCUUCAAGGACCUGCAUGAUGAGCAUAUUAUUUCAAAAUAGGGAGUAAUGCCGGCUAGAAGAGCUAAGUUGGCUAAAAGAAUUUUAAGUGGGCCAGGCGCGGUGGCUCACGCCUGUAAUCCCAGCACUUUGGGGAGCCGAGGCGGGUGGAUCACAAGGUCAGGAGAUGGAGACCAUCCUGGCUAACACGGUGAAACCCCAUCUUUACUAAAAAAUAAAACAAAUUAGCCGGACUUGGUGGCGGGUGCCUGUGGUCCCGGCUGCUUGGGGGGCUGAGGCAGGAGAAUGGCGUGAACCUGGGGGGCGGAGCUUGCAGUAAGCCGGGAUGGCGCCACUGCACUCCAGCCUGGGCAAGGGAGCGAGACUCUGUC